rnacentral:rRNA from 1 species
UACGUAGGGGGCGAGCGUUGUCCGGAGUUACUGGGCGUAAAGGGUGCGUAGGCGGCGCGGUAAGUCGGGUGUGAAAUCUUGGAGCUUAACUCCGAAACUGCAUUCGAUACUGCCGUGCUUGAGGACUGGAGAGGAGACUGGAAUUUACGGUGUAGCGGUGAAAUGCGUAGAUAUCGUAAGGAAGACCAGUGGCGAAGGCGGGUCUCUGGACAGUUCCUGACGCUGAGGCACGAAGGCCAGGGGAGCAAACGGG